AUUGAACGCUGGCGGCAGGCCUAACACAUGCAAGUCGAACGGUAACAGGAAGCAGCUUGCUGCUUCGCUGACGAGUGGCGGACGGGUGAGUAAUGUCUGGGAAACUGCCUGAUGGAGGGGGAUAACUACUGGAAACGGUAGCUAAUACCGCAUAAUGUCGCAAGACCAAAGAGGGGGACCUUCGGGCCUCUUGCCAUCGGAUGUGCCCAGAUGGGAUUAGCUAGUAGGUGGGGUAACGGCUCACCUAGGCGACGAUCCCUAGCUGGUCUGAGAGGAUGACCAGCCACACUGGAACUGAGACACGGUCCAGACUCCUACGGGAGGCAGCAGUGGGGAAUAUUGCACAAUGGGCGCAAGCCUGAUGCAGCCAUGCCGCGUGUAUGAAGAAGGCCUUCGGGUUGUAAAGUACUUUCAGCGGGGAGGAAGG
rnacentral:rRNA from 1 species